UACAGAGGUCUCAAGCGUUGUUCGGAAUUACUGGGCGUAAAGGGCUCGUAGGCGGCCAACUAAGUCAGACGUGAAAUCCCCAGGCUCAACCUGGGAACUGCGUCUGAUACUGGAUGGCUUGAGUUUGGGAGAGGGAUGCGGAAUUCCAGGUGUAGCGGUGAAAUGCGUAGAUAUCUGGAGGAACACCUGAGGCGAAGGCGGGUUGCUAGGCUGACACUGACGCUGAGUGCGCGAAAGCCAGGGGAGCAAACGGG
rnacentral:rRNA from 1 species